UGGAGCUGAGACCAGUCGAAGAUACCAGCUGGCUGCAACUGUUUAUUAAAAACACAGCACUGUGCAAACACGAAAGUGGACGUAUACGGUGUGACGCCUGCCCGGUGCCGGAAGGUUAAUUGAUGGGGUUAUCCGUAAGGAGAAGCUCUUGAUCGAAGCCCCGGUAAACGGCGGCCGUAACUAUAACGGUCCUAAGGUAGCGAAAUUCCUUGUCGGGUAAGUUCCGACCUGCACGAAUGGCGUAAUGAUGGCCAGGCUGUCUCCACCCGAGACUCAGUGAAAUUGAACUCGCUGUGAAGAUGCAGUGUACCCGCGGCAAGACGGAAAGACCCCGUGAACCUUUACUAUAGCUUGACACUGAACAUUGAGCCUUGAUGUGUAGGAUAGGUGGGAGGCUUUGAAGCGUGGACGCCAGUCUGCGUGGAGCCAACCUUGAAAUACCACCCUUUAAUGUUUGAUGUUCUAACGUUGGCCCCUUACCGGGGUUGCGGACAGUGUCUGGUGGGUAGUUUGACUGGGGCGGUCUCCUCCCAAAGCGUAACGGAGGAGCACGAAGGUUAGCUAAUCCUGGUCGGACAUCAGGAGGUUAGUGCAAUGGCAUAAGCUAGCUUGACUGCGAGCGUGACGGCGCGAGCAGGUGCGAAAGCAGGUCAUAGUGAUCCGGUGGUUCUGAAUGGAAGGGCCAUCGCUCAACGGAUAAAAGGUACUCCGGGGAUAACAGGCUGAUACCGCCCAAGAGUUCAUAUCGACGGCGGUGUUUGGCACCUCGAUGUCGGCUCAUCACAUCCUGGGGCUGAAGUAGGUCCCAAGGGUAUGGCUGUUCGCCAUUUAAAGUGGUACGCGAGCUGGGUUUAGAACGUCGUGAGACAGUUCGGUCCCUAUCUGCCGUGGGCGCUGGAGAAUUGAGGGGGGCUGCUCCUAGUACGAGAGGACCGGAGUGGACGCAUCACUGGUGUUCGGGUUGUCAUGCCAAUGGCACUGCCCGGUAGCUAAAUGCGGAAGAGAUAAGUGCUGAAAGCAUCUAAGCACGAAACUUGCCCCGAGAUGAGUUCUCCCUGAGACUUUAAGUCUCCUGAAGGAACGUUGAAGACGACGACGUUGAUAGGCCGGGUGUGUAAGCGCAGCGAUGCGUUGAGCUAACCGGUACUAAUGAACCGUGAGGCUUAACCUUACAACGCCGAAG
rnacentral:rRNA from 2 species